rnacentral:rRNA from 1 species
UGGGGAAUAUUGGACAAUGGGCGCAAGCCUGAACCAGCCAUGCCGCGUGCAGGAAGACGGUCCUAUGGAUUGUAAACUGCUUUUUAUUCGGGAAUAAACCUCUUUACGUGUAGAGAGCUGAAGGUACCGAAUGAAUAAGCACCGGCUAACUCCGUGCCAGCAGCCGCGGUAAUACGGAGGGUGCAAGCGUUAUCCGGAAUCAUUGGGUUUAAAGGGUCCGCAGGCGGUCUUAUAAGUCAGUGGUGAAAGCCUACAGCUCAACUGUAGAACUGCCAUUGAUACUGUAAGACUUGAAUUCGAUCGAAGUGGGCGGAAUAUGACAUGUAGCGGUGAAAUGCUUAGAUAUGUCAUAGAACACCGAUAGCGAAGGCAGCUCACUAGGUCUGGAUUGACGCUCAGGGACGAAAGCGUGGGGAGCAAACAGGAUUAGAUACCCAGGUAGUCCCUGAGCGGGCUGGCAAGGCG